rnacentral:rRNA from 1 species
CCUACGGGCGGCUGCAGUGGGGAAUAUUGGACAAUGGGCGCAAGCCUGAUCCAGCAAUGCCGCGUGUGUGAAGAAGGCCUGCGGGUUGUAAAGCACUUUAAGCAGGAAAGAAGGGGUGAAAGUUAAUACCUUUCAUCAUUGACGUUACCUGCAGAAUAAGCACCGGCUAACUCCGUGCCAGCAGCCGCGGUAAUACGGAGGGUGCGAGCGUUAAUCGGAAUUACUGUAGGUGAUGCGCGCAGUGCGUCGUGAAAGCCCUGGGCUUAAACUGGGUACUGCGGUGGAUACGGUCGGGCUAGAGUGUGGUAGAGGGGAGUGGAAUUUACGGUGUAGCAGUGAAAUGCGUAGAGAUCGGAAGGAACACCAGUGGCGAAGGCGGCUCCCUGGACUAACACUGACGCUGAGGUGCGAAAGCGUGGGGAGCAAACAGGAUUAGAUACCCCAGUAGUC